CAGCACCUCCAGUCUCAUUCCCAGAAAUUCUGCACAGUUGAAGAAACACAGGCUUGGAAGCCAGACAUUCUGUUGUAUCAUUUCCACCAAGUUCAAGGUCGGAGAGUUAGGAGACACUGGGAGAGCCUGAGAAGGAGUGCCAGGAGCUAGGUCAGGACAGAUGAGAGGGGCUCUCUAAAGCCAGACUCUGUUAACAAAGACAGAAAGCAGAGGUCGGCCACAGGAACGCCCACACUGAUGAAGAGACAGGCAAGAGCCAGGUAGGGGUCUUUGGAACUCAAGCUGGAGGGAAAGCAGAAAUAAGAACCAUCCAUGAGCAAAUAAAGGAAAAGACAACAAGGAGGCAGAUGUCAGCACACGCAGCUGCUCUCUGCAUUCUGCAUUCAGUGAGGAGUUGUGUUCAGAGCCCCACCCAGCCUUCAUUCAGCUUAUGAGCCAGGCAGCUGCCUUGUUGCCAUCCAGCAGGUUGAAACCAGGGCAAAAACAUUCUGAGAGCUAGUCAGCCUAAAGGAGGAUACUUUCCCUUUCAAUGCAGCAACAUUCUUUCCCCAGAGUUAAUAAUGAGACCACCACCAUUCUGUGUGUCCUGGUCCAGCAUGGGCAGGUGCAGGAGUCUCUUUUCAGGAUUCUCCUGUUCUUAUAUCCCUCAGUUUUUCUUAGAAUAAAUAGCAGGAAA